UACGUAGGGGGCAAGCGUUGUCCGGAAUCAUUGGGCGUAAAGAGCUCGUAGGUGGUUUGUCGCGUUGUUCGUGAAAACUCACAGCUCAACUGUGGGCGUGCGGGCGAUACGGGCAGACUUGAGUACUGCAGGGGAGACUGGAAUUCCUGGUGUAGCGGUGGAAUGCGCAGAUAUCAGGAGGAACACCGGUGGCGAAGGCGGGUCUCUGGGCAGUAACUGACGCUGAGGAGCGAAAGCGUGGGGAGCGAACAGG
rnacentral:rRNA from 1 species